AAUCAACGCUGGCGGCGUGCCUCAGACAUGCAAGUCGAACGAUUAAAGCUCCCUUCGGGGAGUGCAUAAAGUGGCGCACGGGUGAGUAACACGUAAGUAAUCUACCCUCGAGUGGGGAAUAACGUCCGGAAACGGACGCUAAUACCGCAUAAUGCAGCGGCACCGCAAGGUGACAGUUGUUAAAGAUUUAUCGCUUGAGGAGGAGCUUGCGGCAGAUUAGCUAGUUGGUAAGGUAAUGGCUUACCAAGGCCGCGAUCUGUAACCGGUCUAAGAGGACGGUCGGUCACACUGACACUGAAUAACGGGUCAGACUCCUACGGGAGGCAGCAGCCGGGAAUUUUGGGCAAUGGGCGAAAGCCUGACGCAGCAACGCCGCGUGAAGGAUGAAGUAUUUCGGUAUGUAAACUUCGAAAGAAUGGGAAGAAUAAAUGACGGUACCAUUUAUAAGCUCCGGCUAACUACGUGCCAGCAGCCGCAGUAAAAC
rnacentral:rRNA from 1 species